AUGUUAUUUCCUCUUCUUAUAUUACUACUUUUCACUUUGUUCAUUGGAUUCAUAGGAAUCUCUUUUGAUAAUGGAGGAAUUGGUAAUGGAAUAGGAGAGUUAACCAUAUUAUCAAAGUGGUUAACUCCCUCAAUAAACUUUACCCAGGAAAGUUCUAAUUCUUUUGUAAAUUCAUAUGAAUUUAUUACUAAUGCAAUUUCUUCUGUAAGUCUAGCUAUCUUUGGUUUAUUCAUAGCAUAUAUCUUCUAUGGAUCCGCUUAUUCUUUUUUUCAGAAUUUGGAUUUAAUAAAAUCUUUUUACAAAGGAAAUCCUAAAAAAGAAUUUUUAGAUCAAGUAAAAAAAAUAUACAGUUGGUCAUAUAAUCGUGGUUAUAUAGAUAUUUUCUAUACUAGGGUCUUUACCCUCGGUAUAAGAGGGUUAACCGAACUCACGGAGUUUUUUGAUAAGGGUGUUAUUGAUGGAAUUACCAAUGGAGUGGGUCUUGCUAGUUUUUGUAUAGGAGAGGAAAUUAAAUAUGUAGGGGGAGGUCGAAUCUCGUCUUAUUUAUUCUAUUUUUUAUGUUAUGUAUCUGUGUUUUUAUUCUUUUUUCUUUCUUAA
rnacentral:rRNA from 1 species